AUGACGGUGCUAGGUUGGAACUGUCGAGGCCUCGGGCAACCUCGUACGGUUCAAGAACUUGUGUGCCUUGUGCACACGUACAAGCCCAAGCUCGUCUUCCUCUCCGAAACGCGGCAGAACAAUAAAUACGUUAAGAAUCUGAAGUGGAGGCUAGGCUUUCGCCAUUGUAUCACGCAACCCGGCACUGGAAAAUGUGCCGGCAUUGCUCUCUUUUAUGAUGAAAGU
rnacentral:rRNA from 1 species